rnacentral:rRNA from 1 species
CCUACGGGAGGCAGCAGUAGGGAAUUUUGCACAAUGGGGGAAACCCUGACGCAGCAAUGCCGCGUGAUCGAAGAAGCACUUCGGUGCGUAAAGAUCUGUCAGUGGGGACGAAAACUGCAGGUACCCACCAAGGAAGCACCGGCUAACUCCGUGCCAGCAGCCGCGGUAAUACGGGGGGGGCAAGCGUUGUCCGGAAUCAUUGGGCGUAAAGGGUGCGUAGGUGGCACGUUAAGUCUGGUGUUAAAGGCGGAAGCUCAACCUUCGUAGGGCAUUGGAUACUGGCGAGCUGGAAUGCCGUAGAGGUAAAUGGAAUUCCUGGUGUAGCGGUGAAAUGCGUAGAUAUCAGGAGGAACAUCAGUGGCGUAAGCGCUUUACUGGGCCGUAACUGACGCUGAGGAACGAAAGCCUGGGUAGCAAAUGGGAUUAGAUACCCGAGUAGUC